rnacentral:rRNA from 1 species
UCUGGCGGUCUCCGGCCGUCCGAGUUGUAAUCUAGAGAAGCGCUACCCGCGCCGGACCGUGCACAAGUCUCCUGGAACGGAGCGUCGCAGAGGGUGAGAAUCCCGUCUUUGGCACGGACUCCCGGGGCUUUGUGGUGCGCUCUCGAAGAGUCGAGUUGUUUGGGAAUGCAGCUCAAAAUGGGUGGUAAACUCCAUCUAAAGCUAAAUAUUGGCGAGAGACCGAUAGCGAACAAGUACCGUGAGGGAAAGAUGAAAAGCACUUUGGAAAGAGAGUUAAACAGUACGUGAAAUUGUUGAAAGGGAAACGCUUGAAGCCAGUCGCGUCGGCUGGGGAUCAACCCUGCGGCUUCCGCGGGGCGUACUUCCCGGUCGACGGGUCAGCAUCGGUUUCGACCGCCGGAGAAGGGUCAGGGGAAUGUGGCACCUCCGGGUGUGUUAUAGCCUCUGGUCGCAUGCGGCGGUCGGGACCGAGGAACUCAGCGCGCCGCAUGGCCGGGUCCUCGGACCACGUUCGCGCUUAGGAUGCUGGCGUAAUGGCUUUAAUCGACCCGUCUUGAAACACGGACCAAGGAGUCUAACAUGCCUGCGAGUGUUUGGGUGGAAAACCCAUGCGCGCAAUGAAAGUGAAAGUUGAGACCUCUGUCGUGGAGGGCAUCGACGCCCGGACCCGAGCUUCUGCGAGGGAUCCGCGGUGGAGCAUGCAUGCUGGGACCCGAAAGAUGGUGAACUAUGCCUGAAUAGGGUGAAGCCAGAGGAAACUCUGGUGGAGGCUCGUAGCGAUUCUGACGUGCAAAUCGAUCGUCGAAUUUG